AGUAAAUUGUAAACUUUGAGCUCCAACCAAAUUCUAGUAUUUAAUAUUGCUCUUAAGAGGCAAUGAGCUAUUCCUCCACCCCUGCAGGUGAUUUCAACCUGCCUCAUUGUAAAUGUGGCAUUGAGGUAGAUACAAUCACCUCCUGGUCUAAUGAUAAUCCUAGUAGACGAUUCUAUGGCUGUGCAAACUAUAGGAGAAAAAAAUAAGGCUUGUCAUUUUUUACAGUGGAUAGAUGAUGAGAUGUGCGACAGAGGGAAGAAAAUUAUUCCUAGAAAGCUAGACAAACAAUUAAAAGAGAAUGAGAGGUUAAAAACAAAAUACAAGAUAAUAAAAGUAGUUCUUUUGCUAGUGUUCUCUCUUUAUGUCUGCUUAUACUUGUGUAGUAAAAAUGGGUUUUUAAGCAAUUAGUAGUAAAUCUACCUCUAUCAUAUGUAUUUUGUGUAAAACUAUAUGACAACUUCAGCUACCAUUGGAGGAUUCUUGGUUUUCUUUCUAUUAUGAAAUUUAGUUUUCUUUCUA